GAAGCCGCUCAGAGCGGUUGAGAGAAAGGUGAGUGGAGCAAACUAACAGAGUUAGUGGGUGUGUGAGGAGGAAUGGAGCCAGCGGAGUGGGCAGGGAGGUUUCAUAAAGACACAGUGCAGGCCGCAGAUCCCAAAUAACAAGGAUGUUAGAAGAGGAGGGCAAACUCGAGGGAGAUGAGAAACCAAAACCAAACAUCACGUCAAAAUCUGAAAGUCACUUGUUUCACCAGGACCUGAAUAUCACCAGCCUUUGAAUAUACCAGCAUCUAUUGUGAUCCCCAGUUGCCUGUGGAGAAGAUGAUGUUUGACCUUCUUGAAUCGCUGCAGUCCAUGUGGUGAAGAUGAUCCCACAAUGCUGUUAGG